rnacentral:rRNA from 1 species
CGGCGGUGCGCCGCGACCGGCUCCGGGACGGCUGGGAAGGCCGGUGGGGAAGGUGGCUCGGGGGG